AGAGUGAACGCUGGCGGCAGGCCUAAUACAUGCAAGUCGAACGGCAGCACGGCAGAGCUUGCUCUGUGGGUGGCGAGUGGCGGACGGGUGAGGAAUACAUGGGAAUCUGCCCAGUCGUGGGGGAUAACGUAUGGAAACGUACGCUAAUACCGCAUGCGCCCUUCGGGGGAAAGCCGGGGACCUUCGGGCCUGGCGCGAUUGGAUGAGCCCAUGUCGGAUUAGCUAGUUGGCGGGUAACGCCCACCAAGGCGACGAUCCGUAGCUGGUCUGAGAGGAUGAUCAGCCACACUGGAACUGAGACACGGUCCAGACUCCGUACGGGAGCAGCAGUAGGGAAUAUUGGACAAGUGGGCACAAGCCUGAUCCAGCCAUGCCGCGUGUGUGAAAGAACGGUCCUUGGGUUAGUAAAGCUAACGUUUUUAGGUACCGGAAAAGAAAAGCGUACGUUAGGGUUAAACCACCCGUGGUGUCCGUAGG
rnacentral:rRNA from 1 species